UACAUGCCAUCUUGGAGUCUACGUCAAAAUUUCUUCCAUUCGGUUUUCUACAGCAGAUCUGAAAGAAACAGUUAUUGACAGUAGACAUGAACAUCUUCAAUUUUUGCUUUGUUUGUCUUUGUUUGAUGGCGUCAUCUAUAGGACUCUACAUCACAGAUACAAAUUUAAACGACUGGCCUAACCCAAAACCAAACCCAGAAACCUGCCGAAACUUUCCUGGCUUUCAACUAUAUCGCAACAAGAAUGUACAGUUGUGUUUAAAGUUUCAUAUGUUUGGCUAUCCUGUUGAUUUCAAAAAAGCGGAAUCAUAUUGUAAUGGUGAACUCGCUUCUUUAGGAAUUUUCGAAACUAAAGAGAAGCUGGAAAUUUUGCAACAACAGAAAAGAUGUGUUUGGAUAAACUUCAGACCUAUACCAUUUUGGUCUAAUAACUACAAUUUCGGAGAUGCAUUUAUAAAUGAAUCUUACAAUGACGAAAAACAUAAAAACCUUUUUUACCAAGGUAGGCGGUUUAUG
rnacentral:sRNA from 1 species